rnacentral:lncRNA from 1 species
AGAAGGCAUCUUGAGCUCCGUUUUCUUUUCUUUUCCCUCCCCAAGGGGGAACUUGAGGGUCAGCAAAGCAGAGAGAAUCUGUCAGAGACACACAGCUGGUUGAAUGCAGAACUGAGGCCCCUUCUGGGACAUGCCACUUCCAAUUCAAUAUCGUACCUUCUUUCCCAGUUUCUUCCAAACAGAACUGGCCCUACUUGAAGAUGGAAGACAUCGCUCUCCCACGUGGGCGGCAUCCAAACCUGCACAGCUGUAGCGUCUCCGGAGCAGCCUGUCCCAAGGCCUUCUUUCUCUCUGGAAGCUUCUCUCAGCCUUCCAGGCUGCCCUGCUAAGCCCUCACUGCCUCAAAGGUCCCGCCCUGUUUGGAUGUCUGGUCCCAAGCAGAGCUCAGAGGCUGCUUCUCUGGCUCUCCGUUGCAUUUCCAGUUUGAGCACAUUACUGGGCCGAGUCAAGGCUCAAUAUAUAUUUGUUGAAUCAGUGAUCCAAAGACUGAAAGUCAUCGUCCUGAGAGCAGUCGCCAAGGUCUCCGCCAUUAACACCACUCCAUGGGAUAAGUUAUUGUCCCAAGUUAAAACGCAAGAAGACCUGGAGGAGAAUAACUAAGCAAUCAUUAUCACAGCAUCUCAAGCCGCUCUGCAGAAUAUGAGAUAAGGGCCCUGUAAAGGGAGACAGGAAUGACCUUCAGGGUGCGGCAGGAGCAGGAGAUGCUGCCCUCCUGGGCUUUCUGGAACAAAGUGGAGAAAAGUCGUUCUCCUGAGGGAGACCACAGAAAGUGAUGCCCAAAAUAACAUGCCACUGCCUCUCACCGUGCCUAAGUCUGGCAUUUACCAGUUGUCCUCUCUGUCCCCCACCCAAAAUGGGUGUCUUCAUGACUGAAUCACACAAAUGCCAAAGGUUUAUCACAAUGUCUCCUUUCUAAUUGGCAUAUCAAUUAAUACUUUCCAGAGUAUCGUCCCCUCUUUUUCUUUAUUUAAUUUCUUUGAGAGACUGGAGGUAGAGGAUAUCAUCUCCAAUACCAUUCAGAAAACCGAGGUGGAGAGCUGCUGUUUCACCUUAAACCUUAUGCUCUGGCCACUAGGGGAAACUGUGGUUUUCUUGCAUUUAGAACUAAUGAUAACAUUUAAAAAAUAUUGUAUUUAUUCUAGGCCGGGUGUGGUGGCACACGCUUAUAAUCCCAACGACUCAGGAAGACUGAGACAGGAGGAUCUCAAGUUGAAGGCCAGCCUCAGCAAAUUAGCAAGACCCUUGGCGACUAAGUGAGACCCUGUUUCAAAGUAAAAAAAAAUAAAAAUAAAAAUAAAUAAAAGGACUGGGGAAUGUGGUUCAGUGGUAAAGCACCCCUGGGUUCAAUCCCUAGUACCAAAACAAAAUAAAUAAAUAAAUAUUUUAUCUACUCUAGACAGAUCUUUUUAAGGAAAGGGUCUCUAUUUUAUUUUUAUUUUAUUAAUAAUUUUUAAUUAUUUUAUUAAUGAGGGCAAAGACCGUAACAAUCCC